AGUAUCAAACUCCCAACCUGAGGUGAUCCACCCACCUCAGCCUCCCAAAGUGCUGGAAUUACAAGUGUGAGCCACUGCACCGGGCCCUUGAAGUUUUUCAUAAUUGGUACUUUUUCCUGUUGCAAUAUUCCUUGUGAAUUUAAUUUUUUUAAAGAUAAAUCUAACUUUGUUUUAUAUUCCAAAGGCUAGAAACUGCUUCAAAACAAAAACAACUUCAUCACCAGUAAGACCCUCUCAGUCCCCUUUCAUUUUAACCUUAACUGCAUUUACCAGUAAGACUUUUUCCAUAACUGGGGUGAGCAGGCUGAGACAUCUGCAGGAAAGGCAUCCCAGAA